rnacentral:lncRNA from 1 species
GGAGAUGUAUGUAUGUAUGAGUGGAUGGAUGUUUAUAUAGUGACUGCUAUAUAUGCUUAGAUGUUAUUUUCAAACUCUGAUACUUGCUGAGCUAUAAUAUAAACUUGGGUUCGGUUCGGGUGCAGAUAAAAUCCAUAUCUGAAUCCAAAUUCGUUGGAUUUUCGUUUUUUAUAUUCGUAUCCGAAACUAUAUUCGUUUAGCAUCGAAUAAACCGCUCCGUUUGGGUUCGGAUUUGGAUAAAAUUUCAGUAUCCAUACCCAUUGACAUUCCCAUCUUCUAUGAUUAAUUUUGGGAUGAUUGCCUAUAUACCCCUCAUACGUUUGAAAAUAUUCGAUUUACUCCUUUUUUUUUUCUAAAAUACCCCUCAUAUGUUCCACCGUUAUUGCAAAAUGCCCCCGCAGUUAUCUCCUGUUAAGUUAACUUGGGUUAAACGUGAGUUAAACAUCUACCACAGUUAAAAAAAAAUUAAAAUGCCAAUUUUGCCCUUAACUUAAGGGCAAAUAAGAAAUGUUGGUGACGGUAGAGAGGUAUAUUAGAAAAGACCAAAAGUCAAAAUACUUUUUGUGCCCCUGACUUUAAGGGCAAAUAAGAAAGUCGGUGAUGGUGGAAGGGUAUAUUUGAAAGGGCAAAAUAAUAAUUUUACAGAGAUAAUAGAGUUAAUUAACAGAUUUUAACUCUAGGGGUAUAUUAAAAAUAGGUUGGAACGUAGAAAGGGUAUUUUCAAUAUUAGCCUUCUAAGAAGGGUAAAUCGGAAAGUCGGAAACUUUUCAGGGGUAUAUAAACAAUCACCCCAUUAAUUUUAACAACUUCUUUUAUUAAUAGAUUUUAAAAUAUUAUAAUUAUAAAAAUAGCCUUUUAAAAAAAUUAUUUAUAAAAUUAGAUUUAUGCGGUGAAUAAGUCAUCUCUUUUUAAAUAUGGCAAAUCAUUCACCGCUUUCUUCAAAGCAUUAGAAUUAUUUUUAGAGUUUAAUAUAAUAUAAUUUUUGAAGUUCAAAUAUAAAAAUAUAUAAAAUUAAUAAAAAUAAUAAAUAAUUUAUUCUAUUUGAAAAUACGAUAAAUUAUUUAACGUUCAGGUCUAAUUUUAUAAACAAAAUGUCUAUAAAAGCUGAGUGGCCCAAGCAAAUUGUGUUUCUCCAACAACAACAACAACAACAACAACAACAACAACAACAACAACAACAACAACAACAACAACAACAACAAGGUUAAUUGCAUACAGCUCUAUGUAAACAUAUCAAAUUGUAGAUAUAUAUCUUUACAAACUUUAACUUUUUAUUUUUAUUCUUGCAAAAGUUCUACCAUUUUUAAAUAGGGGCAAUUGUCUAUAUACCCCUGAAAAGUUUCCGGUUUUCUUAUUUACCCCUCUUAGAAGGCUAAUAUUGAAAAUACACUUCUUAUGUUCCAAGUUUUUCUAAAAUACCCCCGGAGUUAAGUUCCGUUAGUGAGCUGCCGUUAUCUCUGAAAAAUUACCAUUUUGCCCAUUCCAAUAUACCCUUGUACCGUAACAAACUUUUCUUAUAUGCCUUUCAUAUAGCAAAUACUUUUCUUAUUUGCCCUUCAGCUGGAUCCGGAGCAGAGGGCGUGCAGGGGUCCGAUGGCGUUGCGGCCCUCUUGCUCCCGGCGUCGGCCAAGGCAGCGGAGGAGGAGAAGGACAACGAGAACGGCGAGAGAUGGGAUCGUCGUUGCGGCCCUCUUGCUCCUGGCGCCGGCCAAGGCGGCGGAGGAGGUGGACAACGGCGACGAUGAGAGCAGCGGUGAAAGAGGUCGACGAGAGCGACGAGAGGGGUAGUGUUGGAGGUGGAGGUGUAGGAGGAGAUGAGGCGAGGUGGAGGCGGAGGAGCCGGCCGGUGGUGGCGACCAAGUUGGGGAAGAAAGAGAGGAUAAUCUUAGGGAUUAGUAUAAUAAGGUAGGGACAAAAUAGGUAUUUUGUUUAGAUUUUAACUCUAGUAUAGAUUUAACCCAUGUUUAACCCGAGUUAAGCUAACAGGGGAUAACUGCGGGGGUAUUUUGGAAUAACGGUGGAACAUAUAAGGGGCAUUUUAGAAAGAAAAAAAAAAGUAGAGGUAGAUCGGAUAUUUCCGAACGCAUGAAGGGUAUAUAGGCAAUUAUCCCUUUUAAAUAUACCUCUGCUGUUAGGAUCCGUUAGAAAAAUAUAGUUAAUCAUAAGUAAAAUACUAAACCUUGGUUAGUGGAUAAGUUAAAUUGAUCUUUUUAUCCCUUUUAUAUUAUUAGAUAAAAUACUUUUUUGGGAGAAUAUUUCUGCAUAAUUCUAACAGUUAGAACUUUUGAAGAGAUAAUAUUUGUAAAGACAAAAAUGUCAUUUUAUUUAACUGCUGUUAAAAAAUAAACAGUGCUUUAACGGUAACAAAUCAGAGGAGUAAAUAUAAAUAUCAUUAGAUUUUUGCAGGAAUAAAAAUAAAAAAUUAAACUUUGUAAAAAUAUAUUCGUACCACCUUAGUCUAUCACGCCCUACCGUUCGGUCCGUUCCUUCCCCAAAUAGGUAGAAAAAGCCCGCACAGGCGCGUGUCCCAGACCGCCAAACCAACAUAAUUUUUCUCUCCGUUUAAGACAUCAUAAUCGGUACAAUUCAAAAUAUUACAAACAAAAAUAGAAUUUAUACACAAAUUGUAUAAAAAAAAAUAUUAU